UGGGGAAUUUUUGACAAUGGGGGAAACCCUGAUCCAGCCAUCCCGCGUGUGCGAUGAAGGCCUUCGGGUUGUAAAGCACUUUUUGCAGGAAAGAAACGUCAUGGGUUAAUACCCCGUGAAACUGACGGUACCUGCAGAAUAAGCACCGGCUAACUACGUGCCAGCAGCCGCGGUAAUACGUAGGGUGCAAGCGUUAAUCGGAAUUACUGGGCGUAAAGCGUGCGCAGGCGGUUCGGAAAGAAAGAUGUGAAAUCCCAGAGCUCAACUUUGGAACUGCAUUUUUAACUAACGGGCUAGAGUGUGUCAGAGGGAGGUGGAAUUCCGCGUGUAGCAGUGAAAUGCGUAGAUAUGCGGAGGAACACCGAUGGCGAAGGCAGCCUCCUGGGAUAACACUGACGCUCAUGCACGAAAGCGUGGGGAGCAAACAGG
rnacentral:rRNA from 1 species